UUGAGAGGAUGAUCAGCCACAUCGGGACUGAGACACGGCCCGAACUCCUACGGGAGGCAGCAGUGGGGAAUAUUGGACAAUGGGGGCAACCCUGAUCCAGCCAUGCCGCGUGUGUGAAGAAGGCUUUCGGGUUGUAAAGCACUUUCAGCGAGGAGGAAGGCUCUAAAGCUAAUACCUUUAGGGAUUGACGUUACUCGCAGAAGAAGCACCGGCUAACUCCGUGCCAGCAGCCGCGGUAAUACGGAGGGUGCAAGCGUUAAUCGGAAUUACUGGGCGUAAAGCGCGCGUAGGUGGUUGAGUAAGCGAGAUGUGAAAGCCCCGGGCUUAACCUGGGAACGGCAUUUCGAACUGCUCGGCUAGAGUGUGGUAGAGGGUAGUGGAAUUUCCUG
rnacentral:rRNA from 1 species